rnacentral:rRNA from 1 species
UACGGAGGAUGCGAGCGUUAUCCGGACUUAUUGGGUUUAAAGGGUGCGUAGGCGGACGCUUAAGUCAGCGGUAAAAUUGCGGGGCUCAACCUCGUCGAGCCGUUGAAACUGGGUGCCUUGAGUGGGCGAGAAGUACGCGGAAUGCGUGGUGUAGCGGUGAAAUGCAUAGAUAUCACGCAGAACUCCGAUUGCGAAGGCAGCGUACCGGCGCCCUACUGACGCUGAAGCACGAAGGCGUGGGUAUCGAACAGG